rnacentral:sRNA from 1 species
GGCUCCGCCUCCGCCUCUAACCCCUCCCCGCCGGGCCCGGACCACGCUAGCCGCUGCCUAGCCCGGGCUCCCGGCAGGAGGGCGCCCGGGCCCAGUACCCGAGUGCCCCGGUCUCUAGAGGGCUACGGAGCGCGUCUGCCUCCAGGACCGGGUAUUUGACUGAGCAGCCUGCGAAGUAGAGCGCGGAAGGUCCGCAGUGGGUGCGGCGCGGCGCAGUCGGGGCUAGCCCACUUGCUCAGCGUAGCUUUUCUAGAGCGUCGGGGGUCUCGAGGGGCCGGGGUUGGACAGCAGCUGCGCGACUCCGAGGGACUCUUCUCUGCAGAUCCAGGCCCGCACCUAUCUGCAGAUGUUCUUCCAUAGAGCAAUUCUCUGCACUUCUUAGAAACAACUGUUGCUUAUACAACUGUUGCUUAUAGCAGAAGACAGCCUUUAUCUCUUCCAGUGAUCCACAGACUUGAUGAAAUCAGUUCGGGCCUCAGAGAGAAGAUGAAUUGUAAGCAAAAUUCAAAAAUCACGAUUCUGGGGAAAAAGACCCCCAAAUCCAGAGCCCUGUAGUACCAGCCCUGCUAGUUCAACUGAAGGCUGCAGCAUGCCCUGAUCUAAACGGGAAAACACAACAAGGAAAAUAUCAGAAGCACAAGCCAGAGCUGUUGUCCUCCUUACUCAUCCACUCAUCCAUCAAGAUAAGUCAGAGAUCAAAAGGAAUUCCCUCUCCAUCCUCCAAGAAAGACACUUGAGGAGACAAUUAGUAACAUGGUGAGAGGAGCUGGAUCUCAAGUCCCCAAAGCACAAAGUAAGAAGCAGCCAGCUCUGCCAAGAGACAGGAAAAAACCCUGACUGGACCUUCAGAGACAGAUCAGGAGGAUCAAGGAAACUCCAAUCGAGCACAUCACAUGGGUAAAGUCUUCAGACUCUAUGCCUGGUCUGCAGGACAGUGGGCUAGCAAUUCAUAACGGUUGGAGCCUGGGUCAGGAGGGAGAGGAGCCCGUGUGGCUUGGGGAGGUGGCUGUCAAACAACCUGCUGAGGGACUUGAGCUUCAUUCUGGAAGACACAGGAAGAUGUGGCAGGGUUUUGAGAAGGGGUGUGGCUUUGCAAAGACUUCUUUGGCAGGAAGGAAAGUGUGCUAGGUUUCCACAGCAGCCAGCUUAUCAACGUUCCUCCAGCCCUGCUGAAUUCAGAAUCUCAGGACAUCUGUUCCUCCCGCCACCUUCCUGAUGGCCUACUCGUUUUAUUUUGAAGCACAUACAGUAUCUCUUCGUUUCCAGCAUCGUCCCCAUUAUCCACUACUUCCUCCCAACCGCGCUUUCUAAACUGCUGAGGAUGGAAGAGAAAGCAGACUGGACUUGCAGUAUACAUUUCACACUCUCAUCCAACAAGCAACUUAGCCGCUGACACACUGCCAGCUGGUCCCAUCAAGUCAGGUGGCAUGGGUCACCCAACAAGCUGCCUGUUGGAAUAGCUGGCUGUUACAUAGCCUGUUAAGAACCAGGCGAACAAGACCACCAAAAUGUGGCAGCUGCUGUCCAGACAAGACACCUUCAGGCAGAGCUGGGUGCAGCCCGGUGACUCGUGCAGACAACAUCUGGGUUUUAGUUGGAAGACGGCCUCUGCAUUGGAUGAAGCUCUUCCCACAGACAAAAGUUGGAAACAAAGUCAGAAACAGAAAAUGAGAUUUAAAAAAAAACAAAACAAACCCAAGGCAAUCUUCUUUUGAAAGGUCAGUUCAUUUACUUACAGGGAAGCAGAGAUCUUGCAGCAAUUGCUGUAACUACAUUCCCAUUGACUUCCUGGUGGUGAUUUUUAUCUUUAACACCCCCUACUGGUUUGCCUGAUGGUUUUAGGGUUAUUGUUUCCCUCCCCCUACCCCUUAAAAGUUCUUUUCAAAAACUUUUAUUAGUUGUCUGUCACCUUUCUACUCCCUGGUUUCUUAAUUCUCCUUGGAAAAAAAAAAAAAAAAGCUAGAACCUGAUCUAAUGGCACAAGUCUAUAGUCCUAGCACCCCAGAGGCUGAAGCAGGAGGAUAUUGAGGUCAGCUUGGGCUACAUGAUAACUUGAAGACCCUGUCAAUAAUGAUUAUUAUAAUGAUAAUGAUAGUUGAGAGGUAUCAGUAACAAGAACAAAACACUUGCAUGUCUCUUCGUAUAAAUCCCUUCCCCACAGCCCUCCCUCCACAUGCAAUAAACAGACCUUUACGGAGCUUCAUAAUCUGCUGCAUGACUCAUGCAUGCAUCCAAGGUCACCAUGGGCCUUACAUCUCUGCAUACUUAGGGGUAGUUAUCUAAACACAAAUCAGGAACGUGUGGAUUCACAGGGUGUUAAAGCAGGGCAGGGACGCCUUAUGAAUAAAGUUCCAGGAAGAUGGGCUGAGGUAGACCUUAACCUAGAGGUUGUUUCUUUCACCCAAGUGUUUGAUAGCAGGCUCCAACUGUGACUUUAAUUCCUUCAUGGAGGUCACUAUUUGAGGAGAAGAAGCAGGAAACUGCUGUGUGGUGCUUAAUUCUUAGCUGUCAGGCUGGUAGGUUUUAGAAUCACCUACAAGACAAACCUCUGGGCGUGGCUGUAAGGAAGUUUCCAGAGAAGCUUCAUGGAGCCACAACUCAGUGAGCUGGAGACGAUUCGAAAGGAGAAACCAAGCUAAGCACCAGUGUUUGUCUCUCUCUGCUUCAGACUGCAGAUGCCCUGUGGAUGGCUACCUUCCUCUCUGUGAUGGACUGCACCCUUGAGCCAGCCCAAAGAAACACUUCUUUCCCUGAGUCACAUUCACCGGGCAUUUUUUCACAGCAAAGAGGAAAGUGACUAACACAAGUUGUUACCCCAUUUCUGCUAGAUCUGGGCUCCUUUCAUUAGUCAACAUGACAUGGAUUGAACACCCACUCUGCCCUACUACUGAUCUACAAUGAAGGUGCCGGAACAAGGAAGUUAUGGGAACAAGACAGAGUUGGUUCAAAGAGAUGAUCGACAACAGCGCAGACAUGAAUGAGCAGGAUAAUGCAUGAUGACAGCCCAGUGAAGACCAUAAAGCAGAGGAUCCGGGGGCCAAGGAGAAUAUGUCUGCCCUGUGGUCAGGGAGGUCAACUUUUGGGGAAGUAUUUAACAUUGUCCCUGAGGCCUGUGCUUUGAAUCUUCUUGGCCCAUUUCUUAAUAUCAUGGCUCUCAUGACUUGAUCUUAGUGCCUUUCCUCCGCCAUUUCAGCUGUAGGACCCCAGGAAGGCUUCUCAGAGCCUCCCACAGCAAGCCAUAUGCUAUCCUACUACUUAUAAACCCACACUCUAUAAUGGUCCUUCACUCUGGCACCUCAUUAUAGAAAGUAGGAUGAAGUUGGCACCGAGAAUGAUUCCUAUUUGCUUCAGCCACAGUAAUCUCUUCAUUUUCUAAGACUUCAGUUAUGUGUGUUCAAUCAUCAUGGGAAAAUAUUGAAAAGAAAAUUAUUAGAAAUAAGCAGUUUAUUAAUUUAAGUGACUUUUAUUAUAGCAUUUUGUUAUAUGGCUCUACUUUGUUAUUAGUUGUUGGUAAUCAUUUACUAUGCUUUAUAAAUUAUUUGUCAAUAUUAAUAUUUGUUUAUAGGAGAAAAGAGUGCAUAUAGGAUUUGAUGCUAUCUGGGUUUCAAGCAUUCACUGGGGGUCUGGGAAUGGAUCCUCUGAGAUAAAAGGGGCAUGUCUCUUUUAAUACGCAUAAGGUUUACACUGCAGUACUGCUAAGUUCACUUUACUAUUUGGGACUCUGCUGAAAUUAUCUCUUUGCAGAGGAAGAGUAUCUCACCACCCACAUCAGCUUCCUCCUUCACCCAGAACAGAUUCCCAGAAAAUAAAAGUUCCUAAGACUGUUCUAGAAAGUUCAGAGACACAGAUGAGAACUUUGCUCUUUAAUCAUGCUUCAGGAAUGCAGGUGUUAUCUGUACACACUAUUAUCAAUUGUCUUUGAGAUCGCUGGCUAGAGUAAGCUUGGUCAUGAUUUCUAAUCAUUAGAGAUAGGUUGGGAGUUUUCAAUUCAUUUAUUCUCUUUAUUGUAGCUAAUUGAAGAAUACGUUGCCUUUGGAUUCAAAUAGCCAUUACUGGUUCUCUUUGCCAAGCCCUAUGCAAGACAUAUCUCCUUGGGAUUUUGUGAUGGCUUAGUGCUCUGUGUCAGGGAUAGAGAGGUGAGGCUCAGGUGAAUUAAGGGCUAGCUCAAAGUCAAAUGUAGGGGUAGAAACACGUGCAAGUCUUCUGACCCCAGUACAUGGACUUGCAGGCUGGAGCUCUCCUACCUUUCUUUUUACACACAGUAUUGACUCACAUCUUGAGGAAACUGAGGUUAAAUGUAAUGCGCAAGCAUUCAUCUUUGUAAAGAUUUGUUUCAUUGGGACCACUGGUUACAAGUGAAAGCUACAGUGGAUGUGUCCAUGACAUAGAUUAAACACGAUUACAGAGGAGGUGGUGUAUCCCUCACAUCUUGACUUCUCUUACGUUUAAUAUAACCCUGAAGAGGACACAGAAGUUCAAAUAGAGCAUAUGGCAUUCAUAAGGUUACAUACAUGUAAUCAUACAUGAUACUUUUAUUGUAAAUAAAAAACACUAUUUAUAAUGGCAACAAGUGCAUUAUACAGAUAAAACAUAGGACUGCAGCUUCAUUAUUUAUUAAAGGAAAGAAAAAAAAUCUACACAAGUGAUCGGGGAAACAUAGUCUUACUCUGGUGGCAUUUGUCCCUAGAUUGUCCCUAGAUUGCUUUACAGAUUUCAUCACAAUUCAAAUCAAAAUCAUAGCAGGAAUUUGUGGGAUUGUGAUAAACUCAUUUUGAGUUUUCUAUGAAAGUAAUAAAGGCUUUUGAGUAAUCAACACUGAAAAAGAAAACACAGGAAUGGGAGCACUCGACUAGUAAAUGAGACAUUGUUGAGAAGGUGCAGAACAAACAAAUAAACCGAUGGAGAAUCCCUAAAGCAAGGUCACUUGUGCUGCAGUGCACUGACAGAACUCAACACAGCAGCUGUUCUUCAUCGGAGAGGCUGCGACCAUGUAAAAUCAGGAAAUCUUCAAGAUCAGGCCUGUUGACCACUGAUGCUCCCUUACAGGGGAAAAGGUGGAGAGAACAUGGGGAAGCUUAUUACACCUUCUCUUGAGACUCCAGCUUUUUCUUCCUGAACCUCCCAGCCAGUUGUAUAUAAUUCUGUUCCACCUGCACAUGGUCUCAUAGUCUUGGGAGUAUACAGUCUGUGGCAGGCUAGUGGAAGGGAGUGACUCCAUAUUUGCAGUGGUGGGGAAGUCACCCAUCAUUGACAUUGGGAGUGGUUGUGUGGCUACUUUGGGGUCAUUAAUAUACCUAUAAAUAAUUCUUCACCCAUGCUCUGUAAGUAAAAAUAAAGUUAUUAACUCAC